rnacentral:rRNA from 1 species
UACAGAGGCCUCAAGCGUUGUUCGGAUUCAUUGGGCGUAAAGGGUGCGUAGGCGGCGCGGUAAGUCGGGUGUGAAAUCUCGGAGCUUAACUCCGAAACUGCAUUCGAUACUGGCGUGCUUGAGGACUGGAGAGGAGACUGGAAUUCAUGGUGUAGCAGUGAAAUGCGUAGAGAUCAUGAGGAAGACCAGUGGCGAAGGCGGGUCUCUGGACAGUUCCUGACACUGAGACACGAAGGCCAGGGGAGCAAACGGG